AGAUAGAUGAUCUUGUUGACUUUCCACAGCUUUGAUCUCGAACUGGUUUGGAAUUCUGAGCGAGAGUUGCACAGUCUGCAUUCUUCUCUGCUUGUUUCUUCUGCAUGGCAGGUAGUCACGAGGUAGAGGUGGUGGUCUGUUUCUUUCUUCAAUCUUUCCAAGUGCCCACUGUAGACAUCGAAAUUGCGAAUUUUCCGUGUUCACACCCACCUCUUGCUUUCUUUCUCCUUGUCCCUAGUUGAGGAUGAAUCAGCACGUUGUCUCCACAUGCUUUGAGGUAUCAUUUUCACUUCUCUUAUCUGUUCCCCAGGCAGAUGUGGUAGACGAAGUGGAAGCAUAAGAUGAUGAAGAUGAGUACUCAAGAGUAAGGCUAGGUAUGCAAUCAGGAAGGGGUUCCAGGUAGUUGGUUCUAGAUCGGAAGAUUGAUACCAAGUGCUGGUUGAUUGCUCUCUUUCUUCUUGUCCCAAAACAAUGACAAGGGGAAGGACAGGGAGAAAGCAUGAUAUGAGAUACUCUUGCUUUCAACCUUCAUGAUAUGAAAUACUUUUGCUUUGGAUGAGUUGUUUGCAGAGGUACCCUAAGGAAUAAGGAACACUGAGUGACUUGAGAGGGUUUGUUGGAAAGGCAUUCUUGGAGAAGAAGGAGGGCUAUGUAUGUUUGCCUUGCAAUGAAGGGUGAAGGGUGACAUUUAUAGGAAUUAAUAAUCGGUACUAUUCUUUCACUCUUGUUAGCAACCGUUGGAUGAUUUAUUAGUAAACUUCACAAGAGAUCUUCGACAGAUUGCCUGUAAUUUUCGCAAGGCUGAGUGUGUAUGUAGUUGGCACUGACACGUCUGGAAAAGCGAGUGCCUCUUCGAUAUCUGGAAUCGGUGCUUCGACAAACUGCCCCUGAUUUUCAUAAAGCUGACUCUGCAUGUGACAGAUGUUGACACGUCUCAAAAAGUAGAUGGUUGGAAUCAGCGUUUCGACAAACUGCCCGUGAUUUUCGCAAAGCUUACUCUGCAUGUGACAGAUACUAACACGUCUGGAAAAGCAGAUGCCUCUCCGAUAUCUGGAAUUGCCUCUUCGAUCUCUGAAAUCCCGUCGAGUGCAGAGGUUGCAUGUGACAAGUGCGGAUAAAUCUGGAAAAGAAGAUUGGCCGUGGUUUCUAAGCAAGCCUAGCUUUUGAGAAAGCUAGCGCCUCUUUGAUUUUUGAGUUGGCCUCUUCGAUUUCUGAGCUCACCUCUUCGAUCUCUGAAAUCCCAUCGAGUGCUGAUUUUUAUAGAGGUACGCAGGACGUUCAAAGCACACUUGAAUUUUUGCUUGUAGAAACUCCCUUUUUGCACUUCUACGAUCUUGACUUGUCCGACCUCUU
rnacentral:lncRNA from 1 species